rnacentral:lncRNA from 1 species
AUGUUGGAGUCUUGAUUCCAUCCCAUACCUGCCCUCUCUGAUAGGGGGUUGUUCAGGGGGAGCUGCCUGAUGUUUUGAGCAAGGAUGGUAGACUAGGAGGGUGGGGGACGGGAGAGAGGGGCAGCUCUGGAGGGUAGUUUGAAGGCUUCUUGGAGCGAUGAGCGAUUGAACUUUAAGAAAUCUCUGGACUAAACUCCAUAAUGGCUAUAUCCAUUUACAUUCCCAGCAACAGUACAAGAGGGUUGCCUUCUCUCCACAUCCUCUCCAGCAUUAAUGGUUUGUAGGCUUUUUUUAAUGAUGGCUGUUCUGACCGGUAUGAGGUGAGAACUUCAUCGUGGUUUUGAUUUGCCUUGCUCUAAUAAUAAGCAAUGUUGAGGUUUUUUUUUUUUUUUUUUUAUGUGUUUAUUAGUCAUCCGUAUAUCUUCUUUGGAGAAGAGAUUGAACUUUAAAAAGAGAGUAAGGGGGUGGAGGGCCUGGACACUUGUUCCAGAGGAGUCUGAAAAGUGCCAAGCUGGCUGAGCCUGGGGUGUGGAAACGCUGAUAAGGCAGCCUGAUUGCAGGGAGGAUGUGGUUCCAGGGGAGAUAAGAGCGGGGGCGGUGAUUUUUUCAAACGGUAGCCUCAGGUCACCCGCUGGUUUCUGAGAGGCCCAGUUGGUUGCCAAUCUUGGCACCCACUCGCCCCCACCGCUAGCGUCUGAUAUUCAGUGUGCCUUUCCUGAUAAAGCCUUUCACCUCAGCCUUCAUCCCGCCAUGGAGUAGGGGUGGUUAUCCGCAUUCCCAGGGAGGAAUCCUGCACCCGACAAAGUAAAAUUCUGCAAGGAGUUAGAUGCCUUUCCCAUGUCUCCAUCGCACAGGAAUCUUUCUCAGAUUGCAGGGAUCAAGACACACAUUCUGGGGCUUCCCUGGUUGUCCAGUGCUUAAGACUUCACCUUCAAUCCAGGGGAUAUGGGUUUGAUCCCUGGUCAGAGAGCUAAGAUCUCACGUGCCUCAUGGACAAAAAAUGAAAAACAUUAAACAGAAGCAAUAUUGUAACAAAUUCAAUGAAAACUUUAAAAAUGGUCCACAUUAUAUAUAUUAAAAAAGGACACACUUCUGUUUCCAGACAGAUAAGAAACCAGAGGAAGUGAUUAAAAGCUAAAUAACAUCAGGUUAUACAAACUGAUCUUAUGUAAAAAAAAAAAAAAGACAUUUGGAGACUAUGUUAAUAAAAUUUUCUAUUUAAAUGUCGGUUUAAAUAUC